CUCGGCUCUGCUGCAUCGGUGUUCAGCACACAUGACCGCGUCCAGGCCCCCAGCCUUGCUGAAAUUCUAGCGCCGCUCUAAAGGGGUUGUCUGGGAUUAGGAAAACACGGCUGCAGUCUUCCAAAAACAGCGCCACCCGUCUACAGACUUUUCCCACAGGUGUGAAUGGGGCGGAGCUGCAGUACCCCUCACAACCUGCGGGGCUGUAUUAGAAGGAAGCAGCCAAGUGUUUAACCUAUUUCUAACCCUGGACAAUCCCUUUAAUUAAAGGGGUUGUAUCCUCCAUGCAGCCCUAUCCAUACAGAGGUGCCGCAGUAGCCGGACCCCAAAGUAUUCUGCUCCUCCAGCUCUGUAGCCGGCGCCGCCUCUUCUGACCUUUAUCAGGAUGUCGCCUAGCAACAGUCCACGCCGUCACUGGGUGACCACUCCAGUGUGGUCGGGUGUCACUGGCGGCUUCUUCCUGUACAUGAUGGAAGCCACAGAGCCCCAGUGAGACUGAGGUGCACGACAUGUGAUAAGCGGUGUGUGUGUGUGUAUAGAGAAGCUGUAACACAGUAUUACCUUGUGAUAAGCGGCACCCUUCUUGUGUGUAUAGAGAAGCUGUAGCAGUAUUUCCCUGUGAUAAGCGGCGCCCUUCUUAAGCUGUAGCAGUAUUUCCCUGUCAUAAGCGGCGCCCUUCUUAAGCUGUAGCAGUAUUUCCCUGUGAUAAGCGGCGCCCUUCGUGUGUGUGUGUGUGUAUGUGUAUAUAGAGAAGCUGUAGCAGUAUUUCCCUGUGAUAAGCGGCGCCCUUCUUGAGGUGUAUAGAGAAGCUGUAGCAGUAUUUCCCUGUGAUAAGCGGCGCCCUUCUUGUGUGUGUAUAGAGAAACUAACAGUAUUACCUUGUGAUAAGCGGCGCCCUUCUUGAGGUGUAUAGAGAAGCUGUAGCAGUAUUUCCCUUUGAUAAGCGGCGCCCGUGCACACAAGCUGUCCUCACCCCUCUUUCUG